AUUGAACGCUGGCGGCAUGCCUUACACAUGCAAGUCGAACGGUAACAGGUCUUCGGAUGCUGACGAGUGGCGAACGGGUGAGUAAUACAUCGGAACGUGCCCGAUCGUGGGGGAUAACGAAGCGAAAGCUUUGCUAAUACCGCAUACGAUCUACGGAUGAAAGCAGGGGACCGCAAGGCCUUGCGCGAACGGAGCGGCCGAUGGCAGAUUAGGUAGUUGGUGGGAUAAAAGCUUACCAAGCCGACGAUCUGUAGCUGGUCUGAGAGGACGACCAGCCACACUGGGACUGAGGCACGGCCCCGGCUCCUACGGGGGGCCGCAGUGGGGAAUUUUGGACAAUGGGCGGAAGCCUUAUCCAGCCCUGCCGCGUGGAGGAUGAAGGCCUUCGGGUUGUUAACUGCUUUUGUUAGGAACGAAAAGACUCUGGUUAAUACCUGGGGUCCAUGACGGUACCGUAAGAAUAAGCACCGGCUAACUACGUG
rnacentral:rRNA from 1 species